UUCGAGUCGAUACUCACCUUACUCAAGAUUUGACUAGAACUUUGAGUUUUUUUUUCCCCCCGGAUCAGGAAGCUUCGCCAGCCACUAAUACAUUAUUUCAUGCCAUCAAAAGUGGCCUCAACACUCCUCGAGUGAAAACACAACGGGUUAGAUUAGACCCGAAUCACCUUCCGACUAUUUUCCAUCGUCUCUAUACUUACUAAAGCUUUGUAUGGUGCCGACAAUUUUGUCUUCAGCAUCAGACCUCCCUUUCAUCGUUCCUACUGUGAGAUUUGACUAGUUUGACCCAAAAGCUAGUUGAGCUCACCUCACCUACCGUACUGUUGCG
rnacentral:misc_RNA from 1 species